AAGUCGUAACAAGGUUUCCGUAGGUGAACCUGCGGAAGGAUCAUUAUCGUAUCUCUGGCGAGGUCGGUCGCCCUGCUCCGGUCGAGAGGCCGUGCAGCGGGCGACCGGUCGAGUCAAACCUUCACAAACCCAACGUGCACCUUCACGGCGGAGGGUCCGCGGGCGAGAGCCUGCAGGCCCGAAGCCGUAUCAAAAACUCCAAAUCGAAAAAGAAUGACUGCGUCCUUUGAGUCGCCUAAAUUUGUAACAACUUUCAACAACGGAUCUCUUGGCUCUC
rnacentral:misc_RNA from 1 species